rnacentral:lncRNA from 1 species
GCAUGGCCCAUCUGCUGUGAAUCACCUCCAACUCACGGUUCCUGGCAAAGGUUUCAGGGUCAGCUGAUAAUCCAGCUGUGUCCCAUCCGUAGUCACCAGGGAAUUCACCGGUCAGGUAUGAUGGAAUCUGGUCAGAAAAUGGACCCAAGUACUUGGGACGGUCAGGGCCAUACCUGUGUUCCACAAUCACACCCAAUGAAAAAUCAGUCAUUUUCUCAAACAGAUAGAGCUAACACCCCACUUAGCACACAGUGUUAUUAUUAUCUUCACAAGACAAUAGUAAUCAUGCUUGCAUAAUCACUGGAUUUCUAGUUAGGCCUGAGAGUUGAUCAACACAGAGUACAAAUACAGUUCUAUAGAUGCUCUUGUGCUGUGUUCUUUUAUCAGAAUUAGAUUUUGAUAUUCAAUGCAGACCCUUAUAGGGUAAACAAGCGAGGCAAAACAACACCAAAAUCGUAAAAGCAUGGAAUUGCAUGUAAAUUUAGUAUUAUUAUACCAAAACUCAUAACUAGUAAUACCAUAUACUAGCAUUUUGUUGUAUAAGACGGUACAUGGAUGCAAGUGGAGCACUUACCAAAUGCUCUGAGGAGCACUUUUGACGGUGCGGCGCAUGUUGGUGCGACCUUUGCCGGAGCCACCGGUCUUGCGGACGAACUCAUUGACCUGCUUCAGAGCUGUUUGACCAGCGAAUGCUGAUUGCUGGAAAGCAGUGGUGGCCAUGGCUGUGUUGUGUGGUUAAAGGUCUCUUCUUUCUUUGGUUUUGUGAGUGUGUUGUGGAGAAUGAAGAAGGUACUACAAAAGUUUAUAGAAGGGUGGCAUGAUAUUGUGGAUGAGGAUAUGCACAACUCAGCAACUCUUCAUUGGUUCUAGAUAUGGAUGUGGAUUCUCAUGCUGAUAUUUUGUGCUGCUAAACUGUCUCUGCUUCUGCCACGUGGAUGCAAAGAUCUUCUUCCUUAGAUGUUUUCGAGAGGGUUAAUGUAAGCCACACAAAAAGGGCCCACCAAAGUCUAAGAAAUCAAAAUUAAAAAUAUCAACUUGAAAUUGCAGAUAGUUUGGGUUGGGUUGGGUUCAUUCUACAGUGCAAACCCGUGACCCAUCACAUUCUUUUUCUUCUUUUCUUUUCAAACAAAAAAACAAACAGUUGGUGUUCCUGCGAAUCUGAAACCACACACAGAAUACUCGGCUACCAAGAACUCCUGGUGGCAGCUCAUCUUUGCUACAUUACAAAUUUGGUUUAUGUGGGAAUUAAAUUCUAAAAUAAGUUGUAAUAAUUAGAUGAGAAUCAGAAAAAACAAUUAAAGCAUAUCAAAUAAGGUUAAAAACAUCACAAAUACUGUAACAAAAUUUCUGGUUGCAGAUUCACUUGUCGAGAUGUAAUAUUACAACAACAAAUGACGAAAAUAAUGAGGGUAUAACAUCAAUAAUUAUCAAUAAUUGAGAAAGGUUGUUCUUAUAUGAUAUAUGUUUUUAUUUAUCCUUGUAAUGCCGUUUUAUAAAAUAUUCUAAUAAUAACUAUUUGGUUUUGACGUGUAAUCACUAAAAUCAGUCAAAAAGAAUGCAUAUUCCACUUUAUAUCAUAAUUUAAAAAUUGAAUAAUGUUGUAUUUUUAUUAACAUUCUUUUAUUUUCUUUGUCAAAGUACACUGUCACGCAUUUGAAAAACUGUGAUAUUGGUAAUAAAAUAUUUGGACACGAAAUUUAUUAUAUUGAAAGUUAAUAAUAAUUUUUUCAAUGAAUUUGUACUCUAAACUUUACCCAUAGCUAUACAUUAAUUUAGUCUAUCUUUUUAUAUAAAAAAAGGUUCAGCCAUCUUGUUUUGCUUUUUAUUUUUUUGCUCUUAACUUUAUUUUGUUUUAAUCAAAUUCUUUUUCACUUCUUUGAAUGUGUAUAUAUACAUUAAAAUUAAAUUUUCUCUGAUACACAUGCAUAUAAAAUAAUGGCAUUAAUAAAGAGUGAAAACACAUAGUCAACAUGUUUGUUAACUUUUUUAAUAAUAAAAUUAUUAAUAUAAAUAAAUUUUGUAUUUUUAUUACAAAUGGAUUUUAUUUAUUUUUAAUUUUUAUUAUAAAUAGUUAUUUUAAUUUAAAAAUGGUUAAAUCUAAAAAAAAAUAUCCAUUCAGAAAAAAAAGUCAAAUUUUUAAAAAGUAAAAUAAUAAACAAUUAAUUUAACUUAAAAAACUGAUAUAUAAAGAGUAAAAUAAAAUGUUAACAAAAAUACCUCUAUAUUAACUAAUAAAAAUACAUGUGUUUUUGAUAAUAAAAAAUAAAUUAUUGCUAUUACUAUUAUUAUAAUUAUAAAAUUAAAUAUAAAUAAUUUUUAUAAUUUUAUUGUAAAUAAUUUAUAUUUAUUUAAUUAAAAAUGAUUAAAUUAAAGAAUAUAAACAAAAUAAAAAAAUAAAAAAAGUUGAUAAAAUAAUUAUUUUAAUUUAAAAAAACUUUUAUGUAAAAAAUAAUUUUGAAAGACAAAUGUAAACAUAAAAAAACCUCUCGUCUAACACCCAUUUUAUUAAUUUUCAAAAAAUACAAAAGACAAGAUGUUAAAAGUUAAAAAAAAAAAUCAAAUCACAUUCAAAUAGUUUUUAAAAACUAUAUAAACCAUGAUUUUUCAUUAUAAAUAAAAACAUAUAAAAACAAGAAUUAAUCCUACCACAAUAAAAUAAAGGCUUAAUAUCUCAUUUCUUCCUCGUAUUUGUGUGAAAAUCUCAGUUCGGUUCUCAAGUUUUGAACUGUCUCAAUUGGGUCAUUAUUUUUGUAAAAAUGCACACAUUUUACCCCAACCAUUAAUUGAUCUCAAACAGCGUUAACUUUAGCUGACGUGGUAUGCUGACGUGUUGGCUUAAUCUCUUCUUGGUCCUCGUAUUUGUGUGAAAAUCUCAGUUCGGUCCUCAAGUUUUGAACUGUCUCAAUUGGGUCAUAAUUUUUGUAAAAAUGCACACAUUUUACCUCAAUCGCUAAUUUUUGUAAAAAUGCACACAUUUUACCUCAAUCGCUAACUGAUCUCAUUGUGCAACAAUUAUCUUCUGCUAUUAGUGGAAUAAAUAGCUUAAAGGCCAGUGAUGAACCUAUAGGUUACCAAGUUGGUUCAUUUGCAGAAAAGGCUGUGAGACUGAUUGCACUGGUUACACGAGUUUUCCGGUGACUUUAUUUUUUGAGCCGACAAGAUAAUAUGUGUAAAAUCCCUGAUUCUCAGAUAGAUGAAUAAAAUCCCUAAUUCAAAUAAACUAAAUAAUAGGCAUUGUGUCACGUGAAACACGACUUGUUUUAAAAAAUAAUUCAUAUAAUUAAAUAAUACAUGUCAACAUGUCCUCUGGCUACCACGUUGGCUAAACUUAACGUCGUUUGAGAUCAGUUAACGAUUGGGGUAAAAUGUGUGCAUUUUUACAAAAAUUAUGACACAAUUGAGACAGUUCAAAACUUGAGGACCGAACUGAGAUUUUCACACAAAUACGAGGACCAAGAAGGGAUUAAGCCAACACGUCAGCAUACCACGUCAGCUAAAUUUAACGUCGUUUGAGAUCAGUUAACGGUUAGGGUAAAAUGUCUGCAUUUUUACAAAAAUUAUGACCUAAUUGAGACAGUUCAAAACUGGAAGACAGAACUGAGAUCUUCACACAAAUACGAUGACCAAGGAAGGUAUUAAGCCUAAAAUAAAAUAAAAUUCUUUAUUUGUACAAUGCAUUUUUAUUUUAUUAAACAGUUAAAUAUUUUGAAAAAUCACACAUUUAAUUAAAAUACCUUAGACUAACACCAGAUCCAAAAUUCAGUUUCGUAUUAUCUUUUCUAUUUUUUCGUAGUUUUACAAAAUAUGUAAUGACUCAAAACUCUUGUAAAAUUUUUUGUUUUUAAUUAGUCAUCCCAUUGGGAUUUCGGUCGAGACAACCACUCUACCCAAGGAAGCGAAGCAAAACUCCAUCAUUCCCCAAUACAAAUCCCUUCUUGUCAUCGAUGAACCUGCAUCAAGUAUACAUCAUUUUACUCACACAAGUUUUAUAACCUUCAAAGUAACACCAACAAAUUCUCAAAACUCUUGUAUACUCUUUCUUAGAAAAUCUGUUAUUUUUAAAACAUAUAACAUAUAAAAGUCUACUUCUACUCCUAGUAUCUUUUCAGAUUGCACAUGAUGUAUUUGUUUUCUUAACGUUUACAAAACAACCUCCUUUAUAAGGGCAAACAUAACAUUUUUCAAACAAUUAGGAGAAAUUGGUGUAAUGUUGUUAAAACAAUUAAGGAGUUUUCUCAAACAUGAGGGUAUGGGAUAAAAUCUGAAGAAAGAAAAAAAGGCAACAUGUGGAGCCUAGUGUGGUUGGGCAGGGAACUUGUUCAAGUAAAUUUUAAUUUUUAGUUUUUAAAGGAUAGACAAAAAUAAAUAGCUAUAAUUAUAAAUUUGAAGCUGGGUAAUAGCUAAACUCACUUCACUGAGUAUAAAUUUGCAGCAAUGUUGUCAGCAGCUUUGUCGCGGAUCCAUGACUUGCCACCAUUAGUAGUUCUCAAAAGAAUACCACUUCCUCCUGCUGCCCAAGCCUCAUCCUGUAUACAUAAUUUACCAAAUUAUAUAUACAAAAGAAUGGCUUCCGUGGUGCUCUGGUUUAAAAAUUAAAAAAAAUAUAUUGCAAGAAUUGUAGAGGCAGCAUUCAUAUUUCAAAUGUUCUUUCUUUCUUUUUUUCUUUUGGAACCUGUGGCUCGACUGUUACAAGCAAGAAUUGCUUACUUAAUAAAGCAAUUAUUUGAGUGAAGGAACACUUUACCGUUGAACGAUAUCCAACAUCAAGAAUGCCAAAACCCCUGCUUUGGACAGGAACCUCCUCAAAUUCUUCAGUUAACUGAAACAAUAAUAUAUAUUUGCUCAUAUUUGAAAAGAAAUGAAGCAGCAAGAAAAAAGUGCAACAGAGCCAAUUAUCUUUUGUCAAGAGAUUUUAGUUCAUCACUUUAGAUAUCUAUCCUAUUUAGCACAAUAACAACAAAAACAAAAACGUUUCAAGCACGUCAGUGCUUUCUUAGAAAGGGUUUCAUUCUUAUAACCCUAUUCAACUUCUCCCUAGUUUAACAAGGUGCAACUCAAACAUUUUUGGCGAGUUGAAUUGGAGACACAGAUAAAUAUGAUAAAUUUAUUGUGUUGGGCAAUAAUUAUUUUCCAAAAUCAAUCCAUUUCCAGACAUGCACUAUUGCUUGAGUGAGGAAGGUAACAAAAUUCAAAGCUAAUUUAAGACUUAGAAACUAUUUAAAAGAUUAUCCACAAUGACAUUGGUAAGCAGUGAAAUGGAAGACUGUUUAUCUCACAUUCAUACUAUGGAAUGACAUUCUCAGAAUUACUUACCCCAGUGCCCUUGCUGAGAUAAAGACCACCUCCACGAACAAGAAGCCACAGACCACCGUCAGCUCUCCAUCCCAUGUUCUGUAUUCUUCUGGCAACUGCUCUAUUAUGUGGCUGCCAGAAUGGCUGAAAAUUAAAUAUAAUAAAACAGUUAUUACCAAAUACUAUGCAGAAGACAAAUCACCAAUCAAUGUGAUAUCUCAUGGUUAAAUAGAAAAGAAAUAAUCUAUACAAGCCACUAUCUGAGAUAUAUAUCCUGUAGAAGAGCUCAUGCAUCACCAUAGACUUUAGAAUCAUUAUGCAUUGAGAAAGGACGAAAUGUUUUUUACAGUAAAAAAGCUGGUGAAAAAGAAACAGAGAAAAUCCUCUGAUUUUUUCUGUUAAAUAAUUAUUUUUCCUCGGAGGUAUAUUCUAUAUAUGGACAACUGGAUGAAAAAAAAAAUAUACAAAAAAAAAAUUCUAGGGCAAAUCCAAUAGGAAAGUUUUGUACAUCACUUUAGCUUACUUUUUGGGCCCUACACCAAAGAAGACUCAGCAUCAAAGAAAAUAUUUUCAGUAAAAAAAUAAAACUGAUGUAAUCUCUUCCACCUGACCAGCUAAUGGCUGCUACUUCAGAAUUUUCAUAUUGACAAUUUCAUUUCAGGCGAACAUUUUCUCAAAAUUCAAAUUCUGGGAAAGGCACAGCACAAGUACCAGGAGCAGAGGCCCAAAAAAACCAAAUCAUCCUGAAGUAAAAUCCUCACCUGACCAGGCUCCCAGGUUAAGUAGAAGUUGCCUCGACUUGAGACUGCAACAUACCUUCCAUCCGGAGAGCGAUUGACAGUAUUGAAAGUCCCGGUGUAAUAGCUUGCACCACUAAUACCACUAGAAACUGUUCUGAAGAAGUGACACAGAUAGAUAAAUGCCUUGACGUAUAAAACUGAAAAUGCUGAACGUUCACAUAAUACAAAGGAGAACCCAAUGAACGAGUUUUUGAAGCACAAAGCCAAAUAAGUCAAACUUUUUCAACACACAAACCCAUCAACAAUCGCCCUAUAGAAAAACUCAAACAUUUCAAUUUUGUUAACCUUCACUUGAUGUUUUGAAAGAAUAGCAUUACUACACUACACCAUAUCCAUGACAGUUCCAUGCAUACAUGUACACUUGUGCAUUAUCGGAAACUCACCUGUUAAGAGUAGCUGACACGGUUUCCUGAACAGCAGCUCUCCAGUUGUAACCCCUGUUUGCAGUAACGUAUAUUGCACCUUCAUCAGUCACCAUCUCUGCACUCUUCUCACCAGUCGCUUUUAUGUAUACCUGUAAUACAUCCCGUUACAUUUCAGCACAAAUUUCACAACAUAGAAAUGUUGUGAAAAUUAGAACGAAUAACAAAGCAUAAGGGUAACCAUAACCAACCAUAUCCCCUGGAAGUUCAGCACUGAGAGGUAUCCUCUCCCAGCUUUCUCCAGCAUCAGCAGUGUACAACAGAAUCGCAGGUUUUCCAACUAUCCACCCUUCCUUCCCCUUGAAACUGAUAGAAUUAAAGCGAUAGUUGAAAUCUUCAUCUUCGGCAGAGGGAAUCGAACGCGCAGCCCAAGUGUUUCCUCCGUCCUUCGUCUCCAGAAUUGUUUGCCUCGUCCCGAGAAGAAAACCUAAAACACGAACACCGCUCAUUCAUUCAACUCCAACUCAAACCAAAACAACAGCAUCUAAGGCGAAGCGAGAGGAUAUUACGAAUUUACUAUACCGUGGUUGGGGUCGUCGGGGACAAAAGCAAUGUCGAGAAGCACGACGCCAGGGUCGAUAGGGAGGUACACUCUCUCCCACUCCGACAGCGUGUCUUCGGCCCUCGCCGGAAAGUGAGGAAGCGAAACCGAUAUUGCGGCGGUUUCGGCGAGGAAGCGUCUCCUACUCCGGGAAAUGUCGUCGGAAGAAGAAGAAGAAGAAGAGGCUUUGACAACGAGGCUUCGAUUCCGAGGGAAGGUUCGCGAGGAAUGUAGAGAGGACCUGAACAAGGAGGUUGAGUCGGUGAAGGUGAAUUGCAGGAGGAAAUUGAGCAGAGCAGGCAAAUAAAACAUUAUGCAGAAUAACAAGAAGGUGCAUGGAUGGAUGCAAUUGGAGCACUUACCAAAUGCUCUGAGGAACAACCAUGACGGUACGGCGCAUGUUGGUGCGACCUUUGCCGGAGCCACCGGUUUUGCCGACAAACUCAUUGACCUGCUUCAGAGCUGUUUGACCAGCGAAUGCUGAUUGCUGGAAAGCAGUGGUGGCCAUGCCUGUGUUGUGUUGGCAAAGGUCUCUUCUUUCUUUGGUUCUGUGAGUGUGUUGUGGAGAAUGAAGAUAGAAGGUUGACAGGGGCCAUGGUCGAUGACGAUAUGCACAACUCAAAAAUGGUUAAUGUAAGCCACACAAAAAGGUCCACCAAAAUUAAGAAAUAAAAAUUAAAAAUAUCAACUAAAAAUGAAAUCAAUUUAUAUUUUACCAG